rnacentral:rRNA from 1 species
UACGAAGGGACCUAGCGUAGUUCGGAAUUACUGGGCUUAAAGAGCUCGUAGGUGGUUAAAAAAGUUGAUGGUGAAAUCCCAAGGCUCAACCUUGGAACUGCCAUCAAUACUUUUUAGCUAGAGUAUGAUAGAGGAAAGUGGAAUUUCUAGUGUAGAGGUGAAAUUCGUAGAUAUUAGAAAGAACAUCAAAUGCGAAGGCAACUUUCUGGAUCAUUACUGACACUGAGGAGCGAAAGCAUGGGUAGCGAAGAGG